rnacentral:rRNA from 1 species
GGGUGUAAACCUCUUUCAGUAGGGAAGAAGCGAAAGUGACGGUACCUGCAGAAGAAGCGCCGGCUAACUACGUGCCAGCAGCCGCGGUAAUACGUAGGGCGCAAGCGUUAUCCGGAAUUAUUGGGCGUAAAGAGCUCGUAGGCGGUUUGUCGCGUCUGCCGUGAAAGUCCGGGGCUUAACUCCGGAUCUGCGGUGGGUACGGGCAGACUUGAGUGAUGUAGGGGAGACUGGAAUUCCUGGUGUAGCGGUGAAAUGCGCAGAUAUCAGGAGGAACACCGAUGGCGAAGGCAGGUCUCUGGGCAUUAACUGACGCUGAGGAGCGAAAGCAUGGGGAGCGAACAGGAUUAGAUACCCUGGUAGUCCAUGCCGUAAACGUUGGGCACUAGGUGUGGGGGACAUUCCACGUUUUCCGCGCCGUAGCUAACGCAUUAAGUGCCCCGCCUGGGGAGUACGGCCGCAAGGCUAAAACUCAAAGGAAUUGACGGGGGCCCGCACAAGCGGCGGAGCAUGCGGAUUAAUUCGAUGCAACGCGAAGAACCUUACCAAGGCUUGACAUGAACCGGAACGGCGCAGAGAUGUGUCGGCCACUUGUGGCCGGUUUACAGGUGGUGCAUGGUUGUCGUCAGCUCGUGUCGUGAGAUGUUGGGUUAAGUCCCGCAACGAGCGCAACCCUCGUUCCAUGUUGCCAGCGGGUUAUGCCGGGGACUCAUGGGAGACUGCCGGGGUCAACUCGGAGGAAGGUGGGGACGACGUCAAAUCAUCAUGCCCCUUAUGUCUUGGGCUUCACGCAUGCUACAAUGGCCGGUACAAAGGGUUGCGAUGCUGUGAGGUGGAGCUAAUCCCAAAAAGCCGGUCUCAGUUCGGAUUGAGGUCUGCAACUCGACCUCAUGAAGUCGGAGUCGCUAGUAAUCGCAGAUCAGCAACGCUGCGGUGAAUACGUUCCCGGGCCUUGUACACACCGCCCGUCAAGUCACGAAAGUUGGUAACACCCGAAGCCGGUGGCCUAACCCCUUGUGGGAGGAGCCGUCGA